AUUAUUUUCAUUCAUAGGAGACGCACUUCCUAGUUCAAAAUCAUUAAAGUUUCACCCAUAGGAGACGCACUUCCUAAGUUUAUUUUUACCCAUAGGAGACGCACUUCCUAAGUUUAUUUUUACCCAUAGGAGAUACACUUCCUAAGUUUAUCUUCAUGCAUAGGAGGCACACUUCCUAAAUUAAGUUUUCAUUAAUAGGAGACACACUUCCUAGUUUAAAUCAUUAAAGCCUUACCCAUAGGAGACACACUUCCUAAGUUAUUUUAUUUUCCUACAUAGGAGACGCAUUUCCUAAAUUAAGAUUUCAUUCAUAAGAGAUGCACUUCUUAGUUUAAAAUCAUUAAAGUUUUACCCAUAGGAGACGCACUUCCUAAGUUAUUUUUACCCCUAGGAGACGCACUUCCUAAGUUUAAUUUCAUGCAUAGGAGACACACUUCCUAAAUUAAGAUUUCAUGCAUAGGAUACGCACUUCCUAAAUUAAGUUUUCAUUAAUAGGAGACGCACUUCCUAGUUCAAAAUCAUUAAAGUUUUACCCCUAGGAGACGCACUUCCUAUGUUUAUUUUUACCCCUAGGAGACGCACUUCCUAAGUUUAUUUUUACCCCUAGGAGACGCACUUCAUAAGUUUAAUUUCAUGCAUAGGAGACGCACUUCCUAAAUUAAGAUUUCGUGCAUAGGAAACGCACUUCCUAAAUUAAGAUUUCAUUAACAGGAGACGCACUUCCUAGUUUAAAAUCAUUAAAGUUUUACCCCUAGGAGACGCACUUCCUAAGAUUAUUUUACCCAUAGGAGACGCACUUCCUAAGUUUU
rnacentral:lncRNA from 1 species